AGAGUUUGAUCGUGGCUCAGAUUGAACGCUCUCGGGAUGCCUUACACAUGCAAGUCGAACGGCAGCACGGACUUCGGUCUGGUGGCGAGUGGCGAACGGGUCUGUCUUGUAUCGGAACGUGCCCAGUCUCGGGGGAUCUCUACGCGAAAGCGUCUCUCUUACCGCAUACGCCCUACGGGGGAAAGCAGGGGAUCGUCUGACCUUGCACUAUUGGAGCGGCCGAUAUCGGAUUCUCUCUUUGGUGGGGUCUCGGCUCACCAAGGCGACGAUCCGUCUCUGGUUUCUCUGGACGACCAGCCACACUGGGACUCUCUCACGGCCCAGACUCCUACGGGAGGCAGCAGUGGGGAAUUUUGGACAAUGGGGGAAACCCUCUUCCAGCCAUCCCGCGUGUGCGAUCUCUGCCUUCGGGUUGUCUCUCACUUUUGGCAGGAAAGAAACGUCAUGGGUUCUUACCCCGUCUCUCUCUCGGUACCUGCAGAAUCUGCACCGGCUCUCUACGUGCCAGCAGCCGCGGUCUUACGUCUGGUGCAAGCGUUCUUCGGAAUUACUGGGCGUCUCUCGUGCGCAGGCGGUUCGGAAAGAAAGAUGUCUCUUCCCAGAGCUUCUCUUUGGAACUGCAUUUUUCUCUACCGGGCUCUCUUGUGUCAGAGGGAGGUGGAAUUCCGCGUGUCUCAGUCUCUUGCGUCUAUAUGCGGAGGAACACCGAUGGCGAAGGCAGCCUCCUGGGAUCUCACUCUCGCUCAUGCACGAAAGCGUGGGGAGCAAACAGGAUUCUAUACCCUGGUCUUCCACGCCCAAAACGAUGUCAACUCUCUGUUGGGGCCUUCGGGCCUUGGUCUCGCAGCUCUCGCGUCUCUUUCUCCGCCUGGGGAGUACGGUCGCAAGAUUCUCUCUCAAAGGAAUUCUCGGGGACCCGCACAAGCGGUGGAUCUUGUGGAUUCUUUCGAUGCAACGCGAAAAACCUUACCUACCCUUCUCAUGUCUGGAAUGCCGAAGAGAUUUGGCAGUGCUCGCAAGAGAACCGGAACACAGGUGCUGCAUGGCUGUCGUCAGCUCGUGUCGUCUCUUGUUGGGUUCUGUCCCGCAACGAGCGCAACCCUUGUCAUUCUUUGCUACGAAAGGGCACUCUCUUCUCUCUGCCGGUCUCAAACCGGAGGAAGGUGGGGAUCUCGUCAAGUCCUCAUGGCCCUUAUGGGUCUGGCUUCACACGUCAUACAAUGGUCGGGACAGAGGGUCGCCAACCCGCGAGGGGGAGCCAAUCCCAGAAACCCGAUCGUCUUCCGGAUCGCAGUCUGCAACUCGACUGCGUCUCUUCGGAAUCGCUCUUCUUCGCGGAUCAGCAUGUCGCGGUCUAUACGUUCCCGGGUCUUGUACACACCGCCCGUCACACCAUGGGAGUGGGUUUUACCAGAAGUCUUUCUCCUCUCCGCAAGGGG
rnacentral:rRNA from 1 species